AUAUCUUAGGAUUAUUUGGCUAUGGCAUCUCUGACUGUUGAUUGUUAAAUUGAAUUUAGCUGACCAGGGUAGUUGGGUGGAAAUCUCCUUCCUUCUUUCCUCACUGAUCCACCCGUAUCCCUACUAAAGUUUCAAUCUUAGAAGAAGCCAACCUUCACUUAUAGAGGACUAUUGUUUGGUCAAGGAUAUGUGAAGCUACAUGUUAUGCCUGAAAACAGGUACAUUUUUUAUCCUUUCUCCAGUGGUUUGGGAAUUCAGUGAAAUAACAACCACUUUCUAUAUUAUGAAAAGAUGGGCCUUGCCACUCACUUUGGGUG
ensembl:misc_RNA 7SK 7SK RNA